AUCAAAAGUAGAAAAAGUAGUUCUAGCUAGACGGUCUGCAACAUUGUUUCUCGUUCUUCUAGUAUGAACUAACAAAGUAUCCACUCGAAUCCUGUAAAACAUCCUCUAACUAUGUACAAUGUUAUAGGAAUUUGUUAGUUUUUGAAAACAAAACCACAACGGUACCUCAACUAACUCUGUAAAAUUAAAAUAAGCAAUUGUGUUGAAAAUGCUAUUAUAAACUAAUUUCAGUAAAUACAAAUAUAUGCCCCACAUGCUUACAAUUGUAUACAAUAACAUUUAUUUAUUUAUUUAUUUGUGGAAUGCCGCGGUGAUUUGGAAAACCAUUCUUAGUCCACAACGUUGGCCUCUUUUCUUUCUGGACGACAUUGAACUGAAAAACAUGGAGAAUGGUUAUGGUUGGGAUACCCGUUUUGGUGUAGCCAUGAAUUAUGUGUUUAAUUGUAGCUGGAGCAUGGAUAGAUCUGUGAUUUUCCAGAUUGACAGGUUGCACAAACAAGUGUUGGAAGAUAUAGCAAAAGGAUAUGACAUUACUCUUAACCGUGGUAUCCAAAGUACAAAUUAAUACCGCUAAUUAUUUGAAAGACAAUUCAAAUAACUAUAAUAUUAGUCAACAAUAUGAUGACUUGGCCACAACUAAAUUUUCCAUGUUUUAAUAAAACUUUUAAUUGGGGCUAACGGCGUUGGUUCGCUUUCGCUUGACCUUGGCACAAACUAACAGAGCAUUAGCGUUUCUACUUCGUAUCACUGCCGCGACCCUUCUGGAUUCCGACGGUGACUUUGAUUAAGGAGUCCGAUGGGAGAGCUGGCCACUGAGAAACAUGUUCGAUAUAUAUUAUCAGUUGAAAAGAGGAAAGAUAACUUUGAAUCUGUCGUAAUGGAGCAUCUAAGAAUGAAUGGGGCAUAUUGGGGAUUGACCACUCUGGAUCUUCUAGGAAAGCUUCAUACCGUCGAUGUUGAUGAGGUUGUUUCGUGGUUGAUGAGUUGUCAGCAUGACUCAGGGGGAUUUGGUGGAAAUGUUGAACAUGAUCCGCACAUCCUCUAUACACUAAGUGCUGUGCAGGUGUUGUCUCUCUUUGAUAAGCUGGAUGUUAUUGAUGUAGAUAAGGUCACAAGUUAUAUUGUCAGCCUGCAAAAUGAAGAUGGAUCCUUUUCAGGGGAUAUGUGGGGUGAAGUUGAUACACGGUUCUCAUAUAUUGCUAUUUGUUGUCUAUCAAUAUUACAUCGCUUGGAUAAAAUCAAUGUGGAGAAGGCUGUGAAGUACAUUAUUUUUUUUUUUCUUCGUACCCCAUUGCCCAGAGGCUCUUCGCUAUGCGAAGGUAUGGGGGAGGGAUGUUGCACGCAGCCUUACCCUUGCAUAUGCAAAGAGGCUGUUUCCGGAUUCGAACCCAUGAUCAACAGGUCACCAAGACACAACUUUACCGCUGCACCAGGGCUUUAUAAGUUGCAAAAAUAUGGAUGGUGGUUUUGGGUGCACUCCUGGUGGGGAAUCUCAUGCUGGUCAAAUUUUCUGUUGUGUGGGGGCCCUUGCCAUAACAGGGUCGCUAGAUCUUGUUGACAAAGACCUACUUGGUUGGUGGUUAUGCGAGCGACAGGUUAAAUCUGGAGGUCUGAAUGGGCGUCCUGAGAAACUUCCUGAUAUCUUCUCAGGUCUGCUACUCAUGGUGGGUUCUUUCUAGCCUGAUCAUGAUUGAUAGGGUACAUUGGAUUAGUAAGGAGAAGCUUAUAAAGUUCAUCUUAGACUGCCAGGACACAGAAAAUGGUGGAAUUUCGGACAGGCCAGAUGAUGCCGUGGAUGUCUUUCAUACAUUCUUUGGGGUGGCUGGACUUUCUCUUCUUGAAUAUCCAGGGCUGAAACCAGUAGAUCCAGCUUAUGCUUUACCUGUUGAUGUUGUAAAUAGAAUUAUUUUUACUAAAUAAGGACUUUAGUAGUUAAGUUCGAUGAUAAUUUUCCAGUAAUGACAAAAUCUUGGGUUUGUAAGACUCACUGUUGGGAGUUGGACCCCCUCCUCCCAUCCCCAGCCCAAAAACAGUUAAUUUCUUAAAAACAGUGUUAACAUUUUGAGCUUCUUUUAGUUAAAUUGCUGUGGUACGACAUGUAAAGAUUGAUCAGUAUUGUAGUCAACCAUCAAAUUUAUGCUACUAGUUACUACAUAGAAGUAUAAUUUCUUUUGUUAAUAUAGACAUAGUUAUCAUGC